AUUGAACGCUGGCGGCAGGCUUAACACAUGCAAGUCGAACGAUGAAGUCUAGCUUGCCAGACGGAUUAGUGGCGAACGGGUGAGUAAUGCUUAGGAAUCUGCCUAUUAGUGGGGGAUAACGUAGGGAAACUUACGCUAAUACCGCAUACGACCUACGGGUGAAAGGGGGCGUUUAGCUCUCGCUAAUAGAUGAGCCUAAGUCGGAUUAGCUAGUUGGUGGGGUAAAGGCCUACCAAGGCGACGAUCUGUAGCUGGUCUGAGAGGAUGAUCAGCCACACUGGGACUGAGACACGGCCCAGACUCCUACGGGAGGCAGCAGUGGGGAAUAUUGGACAAUGGGCGAAAGCCUGAUCCAGCCAUGCCGCGUGUGUGAAGAAGGCCUUUUGGUUGUAAAGCACUUUAAGUGGGGAGGAAAAGCUUAUGGUUAAUACCCAUAAGCCCUGACGUUACCCACAGAAUAAGCACCGGCUAACUCUGUGCCAGCAGCCGCGGUAGUACAGAGGGUGCAAGCGUUAAUCGGAAUUACUGGGCGUAAAGCGCGCGUAGGUGGUUAUUUAAGUCAGAUGUGAAAGCCCCGGGCUUAACCUGGGAACUGCAUCUGAUACUGGAUAACUAGAGUAGGUGAGAGGGGAGUAGAACUCCAGGUGUAGCGGUGAAAUGCGUAGAGAUCUGGAGGAAUACCGAUGGCGAAGGCAGCUCCCUGGCAUCAUACUGACACUGAGGUGCGAAAGCGUGGGUAGCAAACAGG
rnacentral:rRNA from 1 species